rnacentral:rRNA from 1 species
UACGAAGGGGGCUAGCGUUGCUCGGAAUUACUGGGCGUAAAGCGCACGUAGGCGGACUUUUAAGUCGGGGGUGAAAUCCUGGAGCUCAACUCCAGAACUGCCUUCGAAACUGAAAGCCUUGAGUUCGGGAGAGGUGAGUGGAACUGCGAGUGUAGAGGUGAAAUUCGUAGAUAUUCGCAAGAACACCAGUGGCGAAGGCGGCUCACUGGCCCGAUACUGACGCUGAGGUGCGAAAGCGUGGGGAGCAAACAGG